rnacentral:misc_RNA from 1 species
UUUCCGUAGGUGAACCCGCGGAAGGAUCAUUAUUGUAUAACCGAGGUGCGAGGGCUGUCGCUGACCCGAAAGGUCGUGCACGCCCGAGUGCCCUCACACACAUCCAUCUCACCCCUAUGUGCACCACCGCGUGGGUUCCCCUUUGGCUUGUUCGGAGGGGGGCUUACGUUUUCACACAAACUUUGUAUGCAGUGUAGAAUGUAUUUUUUGUUUUUGCGAUCACGCAAUCAAUACAACUUUCAACAACGGAUCUCUUGGCUCUC